rnacentral:rRNA from 1 species
GGCACCUUCGGUGUCCGAGUUGUAAUUUGAAGAAGGUAAUUUUCGGAGUUGGCUCUUGUCUAUGUUCCUUGGAACAGGACGUCACAGAGGGUGAGAAUCCCGUGCGAUGAGAUGUCCAACUCUAUGUAAAGUGCUUUCGAAGAGUCGAGUUGUUUGGGAAUGCAGCUCUAAGUGGGUGGUAAAUUCCAUCUAAAGCUAAAUAUUGGCGAGAGACCGAUAGCGAACAAGUACAGUGAUGGAAAGAUGAAAAGAACUUUGAAAAGAGAGUGAAAAAGUACGUGAAAUUGUUGAAAGGGAAGGGUUUGAGAUCAGACUUGGUAUUUUGUAUGUCUUGCUUUCGGGUGGGGCCUCUGCAGUUUACUGGGCCAGCAUCGGUUUGGACGGUAGGAUAAUGACAUUGGAAUGUGGCACUACUUCGGUGGUGUGUUAUAGACUUUGUUGAUACUGCCUGUCUAGACCGAGGACUGCGUCUUUGACUAGGAUGCUGGCAUAAUGAUCCUAAAC